GACCACACAGAAUGCUCUCCUCCUAUGUCAUCCAUGUUCCCUUAUUGUGUCACACAGUGCAUGUGGGAGCUCCGUGUGAUUGCCCAAAAGAAGGCCCACCUCCCCUUGCUGCAGUGAACUUGCUCCUACCAGCAGUGAGGACUACGUGGCAGCUAGUCUGUGAAGCCUCAUGAACUGGGAUCUAACAAGUUGCAGCUCUGCUGUUUGGCAGAUACUGCCAUCACUACAACCACCCCCUGGUGCCUGCUCACACAUCAGCUGGAUAUGUGUGCCUCUGGAUCCAAAAGAGAAGAGAGAAGAUGUAUCUUCUCUCUCACCACUGCAGCUGGAAGUGCAAGAUGCCAACAGAAGCUGCUGGUGGAAGCGGGCGCAUGCUGCUGCUGUGCAUCACAGCAGCUACAGCCUAGACUAGUUCUGCUCCAUCUUUACAAGCCUUUUGUACCUAUACAGUUACAAGGACUUAAGAGCUGAACUUUCUUUUUUGCUUUUCUCCUAACAAAGACACGGCCUGCUUGGGGUUGGAUUUUGGUUGUUUCUGUUUACUCUGACAAUAUGCUUGAAAUGGACAUGAGAGGAGACCCUGCCAUUUGGACGCAGCAUCUGUAUUUUUCUCCCUUUCAUUAAAUGAAAUGCAAUGUCCAUAAACAACGUAGCACACAAAGGUCUCUUUCGUACCUUGAUGCAUAGCAGAGCACGGUGUUGAUGACAGCUCUCACAUCUAUUGGUUUUCUCUGCCAGGCUAAAUCUAGUUGCAAAAAAAUGAUAGAAAUAACUUUUAAAGGUCUUCGUUUCAAGUCCCAAUACUUGCCCUAUGUCUGAAAGAUUGUAAAGAUGAGAUACUGGGUGAAUUGUGAUGUGUGCACAGCAUAUAUGAUUUAAGAUAGUGAAACCAAAAGAAAUAUGUGAAAAACAGGCCUGAAUUUCAAGGGUCAUCUUUAAAUGUUCACACUGUACAAGUUUCUAAAUCUUUCAGUGGAGCAAUUAUUUAAUAAAUCCAUUUGUCCUCAGUUCCGAAAUUGAAAA
rnacentral:lncRNA from 1 species